GGGCGAAUAGCUCAGUCGGGAGAGCGUUUCCCUUACAAGGAAGAGGCCACAGGUUCGAGCCCUGUUUCGCCCA
rnacentral:tRNA from 1 species